rnacentral:rRNA from 1 species
AUUGAACGCUGGCGGCAUGCUUUACACAUGCGAGUCGGACGGCAGCACAGAGAAGCUUGCUUCUUGGGUGGCGAGUGGCGAACGGGUGAGUAAUAUAUCGGAACGUACCGAGUAAUGGGGGAUAACUAAUCGAAAGAUUAGCUAAUACCGCAUAUUCUCUGAGGAGGGAAAGCAGGGGACCUUCGGGCCUUGCGUUAUUCGAGCGGCCGAUAUCUGAUUAGCUAGUUGGUGGGGCUAAAGGCCUACCAAGGCGACGAUCAGUAGCGGGUCUGAGAGGAUGAUCCGCCACACUGGGACUGAGACACGGGCCCCAGACUCCCUACGGGGAGGCCAGCAGUGGGGGAAUUU